CAGCCGCCGCGGUAAUACGAAGGGGGCUAGCGUUGUUCGGAUUUACUGGGCGUAAAGCGCACGUAGGCGGACUUUUAAGUCAGGGGUGAAAUCCCGGGGCUCAACCCCGGAACUGCCUUUGAUACUGGAAGUCUUGAGUAUGGUAGAGGUGAGUGGAAUUCCGAGUGUAGAGGUGAAAUUCGUAGAUAUUCGGAGGAACACCAGUGGCGAAGGCGGCUCACUGGACCAUUACUGACGCUGAGGUGCGAAAGCGUGGGAGCAAACAGGAUUAGAUACCCCUGUAGUCCCUGUCUCUUAUACA
rnacentral:rRNA from 1 species